rnacentral:rRNA from 1 species
AUUGAACGCUGGCGGCAGGCCUAACACAUGCAAGUCGAGCGAGCGGCGGACGGGUGAGUAAUGUCUGGGGAACUGCCUGAUAGAGGGGGAUAACUACUGGAAACGGUAGCUAAUACCGCAUACCAUCGGAUGUACCCAUAUGGGAUUAGCUAGUAGGUGGGGUAAAGGCUCACCUAGGCGACGAUCUCUAGCUGGUCUGAGAGGAUGAACAGCCACAGUGGGACUGAGACACGGCCCAGACUCCUACGGGAGGCAGCAGUGGGGAAUAUUGCACAAUGGGCGCAAGCCUGAUGCAGCCAUGCCGCGUGUAUGAAGAAGGCCUUAGGGUUGUAAAGUACUUUCAGCGGGGAGGCGUUACCCGCAGAAGAAGCACCUGCUAACUCCGUGCCAGCAGCCGCGGUAAUAC